UGGGGAAUCUUGCGCAAUGGGGGGAACCCUGACGCAGCGACGCCGCGUGCGGGACGGAGGCCUUCGGGUCGUAAACCGCUUUCAGCAGGGAAGAGUCAAGACUGUACCUGCAGAAGAAGCCCCGGCUAACUACGUGCCAGCAGCCGCGGUAAUACGUAGGGGGCGAGCGUUAUCCGGAUUCAUUGGGCGUAAAGCGCGCGUAGGCGGCCCGGCAGGCCGGGGGUCGAAGCGGGGGGCUCAACCCCCCGAAGCCCCCGGAACCUCCGCGGCUUGGGUCCGGUAGGGGAGGGUGGAACACCCGGUGUAGCGGUGGAAUGCGCAGAUAUCGGGUGGAACACCGGUGGCGAAGGCGGCCCUCUGGGCCGAGACCGACGCUGAGGCGCGAAAGCUGGGGGAGCGAACAGG
rnacentral:rRNA from 4 species